UACGUAGGGUGCAAGCGUUAAUCGGAAUUACUGGGCGUAAAGCGUGCGCAGGCGGUUGUGCAAGACCGAUGUGAAAUCCCCGGGCUUAACCUGGGAAUGGCAUUGGUGACUGCACGGCUAGAGUGUGUCGAGAGGGGGGUAGAAUUCCACGUGUAGCAGUGAAAUGCGUAGAGAUGUGGAGGAACACCGAUGGCCGAAGGCAGCCCCCUGGGUCAAGAUUGACGCUCAUGCACGAAAGCGUGGGGAGCAAACAGG
rnacentral:rRNA from 1 species